AUGAACGCUGGCGGCGUGCUUAACACCUGCAAGUCGAACGAAGCACUUAAGAUUGAUUCUUCGGAUGACGUCUUUUGUGACUUAGUGGCGGACGGGUGAGUAACGCGUGGGUAACCUGCCUCACACAGGGGGAUAACAGUUAGAAAUGACUGCUAAUACCGCAUAACCCGAUAGGAUCGCAUGAUCCAGACGGAAAAGAUUUAUCGGUGUGAGAUGGACCCGCGUCUGAUUAGCUAGUUGGUGAGGUAACGGCCCACCAAGGCGACGAUCAGUAGCCGGCCUGAGAGGGUGAACGGCCACAUUGGGACUGAGACACGGCCCAAACUCCUACGGGAGGCAGCAGUGGGGAAUAUUGCACAAUGGGGGAAACCCUGAUGCAGCGACGCCGCGUGAGUGAAGAAGUAUUUCGGUAUGUAAAGCUCUAUCAGCAGGGAAGAAAAUGACGGUACCUGACUAAGAAGCCCCGGCUAACUACGUG
rnacentral:rRNA from 1 species